rnacentral:tRNA from 1 species
GCCUGGGGGGCUCAGCCGGUAGAGCAUGUGACUCUUGAUCUCAGGGGUGUGAGUUCAAGCCCCACACUGGGUG